rnacentral:rRNA from 1 species
UACGGAGGGUGCGAGCGUUGCUCGGAAUUAUUGGGCGUAAAGAGCUCGUAGGCGGUUCGGCAAGUCGGGUGUGAAAUUUCGAGGCUCAACCUCGAAACGCCACUCGAUACUGCUGUGACUGGAGUCCGGUAGAGGAGUGCGGAAUUCCUGGUGUAGCGGUGAAAUGCGCAGAUAUCAGGAGGAACACCAACGGCGAAGGCAGCACUCUGGGCCGGUACUGACGCUGAGGAGCGAAAGCGUGGGGAGCAAACAGG